UACGUAGGGUGCAAGCGUUGUCCGGAAUUACUGGGCGUAAAGCGUGCGCAGGCGGUUUUGUAAGGCAGAUGUGAAAUCCCCGGGCUUAACCUGGGAAUGGCAUUUGGGACUGCAAGGCUCGAGUGCGGCAGAGGAGACUGGAAUUCCUGGUGUAGCAGUGAAAUGCGUAGAUAUCAGGAGGAACACCGAUGGCGAAGGCAGGUCUCUGGGCUGACACUGACGCUCAUGCACGAAAGCGUGGGGAGCAAACAGG
rnacentral:rRNA from 1 species